rnacentral:lncRNA from 1 species
GGCUGGGGGGCCAGCGGGACCGGAGGGUGGGGAGGGGCGCGGGCCGCCGGGCUGGCCACGCCGGGGCCUCGGCCCGGAGUCCACAAGCUCAGGCUCCCGGGGACCCGACUCAUGAAGGCGGAAACUGGGACGCAGAGAGGGGAACUGGCCAAGGUCACACGGGAGCUCGCGGCCGGCGUGGUGACGUCUGACAGUCCUGGGACAUGAGGCAGGAGCAGGUGCGGGCUGUCCCCCAUGUCCCGGAAUCCGGGAGUCGGAGAGAACCCUAAGAUCAUCUUGCUCCACAGCUCCAUUUUCAGAAGAGGAAAUGGGCUCAGAGGUCACUUAGCCGGUGCAGGGGUCACUAAUGCCACUGACCAGGCGUUUCCGGCUCUCAGCCUCUGACAGGGCAGGACUGCCUGUCCUUGCUCUGAUGCCUGUGGCCACGGGACUUCUCUGACCAAUGAAACGUGGGCAAAAUGGACGCGUAUCACUUCUCGUGGAAGCUUUACGAGCCACUGGCCCCCCACAGUUUCAUGUUGUUUGUAGAGCGUGAGAAAUAAACUUCUAUCAUGUGAAGUCACUGAAGUUACGGGCUUAUCUGUGACCUUGGCGUGGCCCGCCCUACCUAACGGACGUAGUUGGUAAGGGGCAGGGCCAGGAUUCAGAGCUCUGGUCUGUAAAGAUGCCCAAGGGCCUCCCAGGACUCUCCCUGUCUGUCCAGUGUCUCCUCUACUGGCUCCCCCUCUGGGUUCUGAUCUCCUGGGCUGCGUGGAGCCCUGUGGGGCGGGAAGAAGUGGGCAGGCAGCGUCUCUGCCUGCAUCCAUCUCCAUCUCCACGACUUGACUACGAUUUUGCCGGGUUCUCAGAUUGCUGGGAUUGGCUAGACGAGCAUGGGUUCAUGUGAUCCCUGUGAGGACUUGGGGUCUUCUGGUCAGCUGUGACUCCCAGGGUCCUCGGGGGACCCUCUGAGAAGUAAUUAGAAAAUUGCAAGGGCCUGCCAGUGGCACUGCCCGUCGCCUGCCUAGGAAGCCGUUCUCAAACAGAGUGUUAGCACACACUCCUGGUAACCCCCAGCUCAGACUGAUCCUCUUCAAGUCACUCAUUCCCUUGGGACUCACUUCCCCCUCCGUCGAAUAGAGCCACUACAGUGGGCUGGUAACCGCCCCGAGAUCCUGGGGGAAGCCAAUAUUGGAUCAUAGCGAUCUUCUCAGAGGCACGUGCAAAGAAUUAACAGCUACCAUUUCUGACCGUUGUGCUAAAUGCUGCAGGUCCAUGCUGGCAUGGGGUGCGCAGAACACCCUAGGAGGUAGGAACAAUUAUCGUCUCCACAAAACAAAGACACCAAGAGUGGCCCAAGGUCACACCAUGGGCGGUGGAGCAGGGUUCAAACCCAAGCAAGCAGAUUUCUGGUUUCAACCUGUGUUGGAAGGAAAAGGAUGGAUCUGGGCUGGGGCAGCUGCUUUGCAGGGCCACACACAGACGAGUAUGAGUCAUGGCACAGCCCCAAAGUGGAAACCAGUGGCAUGUCCAUCCACAGAAGAAGGGACGGCCUGUGGUACAUCAAGCAAUGGAAUACGAUUCAGCCAUAAAAAGGAAGGAACUGUCAACAUAUGACACAGCAUGGAUGGACCACAAACUGAUGAUGCUGAGUGAAAGGACCCAGACCAAAAAUGCACACGCUGAAUAAUUCCAUUGACGUAGAGUCUAGAAAAUGCAAACCGACCUGUGGUGUCAGACAGCAGAUCAGCGGUUGCCUGGUGGUCAUGGGAGAGGGAGGCAGGGGCACCACACAGACUUGGGGGGCAGAGCAGGGGUUGCUAACAGGCACCAAGAAAAUGUUUUGUGGGGUGGAUGUAUCUG